ACUCUGGUGUUUUCGGUGUAUGGCACUGGUAGAAUUCACUGCCAAGCCAGUGGUUCAACAAGCGCCGUAAGCUGGAAACACUACUUUCUGCAG
rnacentral:pre_miRNA from 10 species